UGUGUGUGUGUGUGUGUGUGUACAUAUACAUAUACAUAUACAUAUACAUAUACAUAUACAUAUACGCACGCG